rnacentral:rRNA from 1 species
AUUGAACGCUGGCGGCAUGCUUUACACAUGCAAGUCGAACGGCGGCGCGGGCUUUGGCCUGGCGGCGAGUGGCGAACGGGUGAGUAAUACAUCGGAACGUGCCCAGUAGUGGGGGAUAGCUCGGCGAAAGCCGGAUUAAUACCGCAUACGACCUGAGGGUGAAAGCGGGGGAUCUUCGGACCUCGCGCUAUUGGAGCGGCCGAUGGCAGAUUAGCUAGUUGGUGGGGUAAAGGCCUACCAAGGCGACGAUCUGUAGCUGGUCUGAGAGGACGACCAGCCACACUGGGACUGAGACACGGCCCAGACUCCUACGGGAGGCAGCAGUGGGGAAUUUUGGACAAUGGGCGAAAGCCUGAUCCAGCAAUGCCGCGUGUGUGAUGAAGGCCUUCGGGUUGUAAAGCACUUUUGGCGGGAACGAAAAGGACUGUGCCAAUACCACGGUUCGAUGACGGUACCCGCAGAAUAAGCACCGGCUAACUACGUG